CGCAGCACGUCUCGGCCAGGGAGACCAUUUCCCGGACGAGGUGGGCGAUCUCCUCGAAGGUGCCGUUGGAAUAUUUCCGGCUGUUGGCAAUGAUGGUCCUGGGAGCAGGGAGCGAGGACAGCGAGAGCCAGGUGUCAAGCCUCCUGGGAGGGCACCAGCGGCACGAGGUACCUACAGGGUUCUGAAGUUCUCCUUUCCCAGGAUCUUGUACUCCUGGCAGACCUUCUCCCGGACAUAAGCUUUCCCUGAAAGUGCGGGAGAAGGAGGAACUCUGGAUUUGGUGGUCCCCAGGGAGAUGUUGGCACAGCCGGUCUGGGAGAAGCAUCCCUGGUUAUCCAGGCUGCUGCUGCAGCCAGGGAAAGGGGCAGGGAGAAAACCCUCUCUGGAGCCGGGAGAGCUACAGGAACGUCGGCUCCCGGUCCCAACUUGUGGCAUUUCUGUUCACUUGUACAAAGCCAUGCAGGAGAGGCAAGUUUUAGGUGGUUUUUGGCAGCUGGGGGAUUCCCUGUGGAGCUGAGAAGGCAGCCAAGGGUGGCAGAGCAUCGUCUCCACCAAGGGGGCCGGCACAGCCCCGGGAUCACCUCCCUCACCUCGGUGCAGCGCCUGGGCAGCGGCCAGCAGCGGCAGCAGGGCCAGAGCCGCCCUCAUGGUGCAGCUGGCUCUCCUCCUCGCGCCGGGAAGCGGCGCCGGGAAUGCCAUCCCGGGGUUUUUAUGGAGGCAGGGGAUGGGUGGCCGUGGAACGUCGGGAUCUGUGAGGGAUGCUGGGAGCAACACGAAGGACAAGGGGAGAAAAAGCACUCAGUGCACCCCCUGAGUGGAACGCUCUGUGCGCCCGGGUCAGGAUCUGAUCCUGAGGAAGGAGACACACGGUUCUUUGGGAUGUCAGCACACCAAAGGCGCUGGUGCUGCUGGGAAAUGCCGGAUGUUACCCUUGGAAGCUCAGCUCCAGGCUGCGCCUCAGGUUUCAUUCCUGCCACUGCUGGGCUGGGGGCUCUGCUCUGCAGCCCCAUCCCAGAUUUCUGCUGGGAGUGCUGUAGAGCUCUGUGGGGUCUCCCUACAGUGCAGCUUUCCCUUCGUCCCUAGAAAAAGGACAAUUCAGCAUCUGAUCAUCCUCUAGGGUCCUAAGACAAGCCGAGGAAGAGGAGAAGAUCCAGCUGAAGUGAUCCUCACUGGUCCUGCCUGGGCAAUUGAUGAGGGGGAAGCAAAGAAGGAGGGAUGGAGAUCCAGCUGCUGCAGUGGGACCCCUGGCCCCCAAAUCCACCCAGUGUUCCAGGGCAUGCUGCGCUCCCCAUGAGACCAAAUGUUCCCACUCCGACCACACCCUGUGGGAUGAAGACAGAGCUGGUUUUUACGGAAGAUCCCAGCUUUUUCUCCCAGGGGUCUGCACUGACAGUGAGCUGCAGCUGCGGACCAGAUGCUGCCGAUGCAGGAGAUAACCAUGUCCUGUUCCUUUGGGGGUUCAUGUCUGAAAGCUGAAAAUAAAUAAUUCGGGACUCAUGGAACGGCCUCCUCUCCUGGAUGAACUCUUCCUGUCAGGCUUUCCUGUCACGGCCGGGGGAGGUGGGGGGCACACGGUGCCGGUCGGAGCCCCCGCGCCGGGCCCGCUCCUGCCCGCGGCUCCGCGUCUGCCCCGGGGAAGCGCCGCCGCUGCCCCAGCCCGGCCCCCGCCGCCGGGGCAGGAGCGGCGGCGUCACACUCGGCCCCACCGCCCGGCCCGGAGCGGCACCUCC